UAAGUAUUUAUUACUGUACUAAAGAUGCAACACUGCUAACACGUUUAGAGAAUGGUACUACCUGGUUUGAAGAUUUUAAAGCUCUACUAACCAGGAUGGUUCAGCACUGCUGUGAAGACCAUCGAACACAGGAGCAGACCAGAAUGCAGGAUCCAGAAGUACACUCACACGGACAAGUUUUGGUAAAGGAGACGAACCAACGCAUUUGGUAGAACAAAGCCUUAUUUUAAAGGGAACACUAAUAGGACACUUUUAAUAGUGCUGAAAUGACUUGUGUAGAUACAAGAGAAAUGCAACUGAAGGCUCACAAUGGCAGAAGUAAAAAUAGUUGCUGGCUGCCUGCAUGUGAGGGAAAAAGCUCAAGGCAACUUCUGGUGGACAAGGUAACUUCCAGUGGAUGAGGCAACUUCCGGUGGCCGAGGUAACUUCCAGUGGAUGAGGCAACUUCCGGUGGCCGAGGUAACUUCCAGUGGAUGAGGCAACUUCCGGUGG
rnacentral:lncRNA from 1 species